rnacentral:rRNA from 1 species
CCUACGGGCGGCAGCAGUGGGGAAUAUUGGACAAUGGGGGCAACCCUGAUCCAGCCAUGCCGCGUGUGUGAAGAAGGCCCUCGGGUUGUAAAGCACUUUCAGUGAGGAAGAACGCCUGGUGGUUAAUACCCAUCAGGAAAGACAUCACUCACAGAAGAAGCACCGGCUAACUCCGUGCCAGCAGCCGCGGUAAUACGGAGGGUGCGAGCGUUAAUCGGAAUUACUGGGCGUAAAGCGCGCGUAGGUGGCUUGAUAAGCCGGUUGUGAAAGCCCCGGGCUCAACCUGGGAACGGCAUCCGGAACUGUCAAGCUAGAGUGCAGGAGAGGAAGGUAGAAUUCCCGGUGUAGCGGGGAAAUGCGGAGAGAUCGGGAGGAAUACCAGUGGGGAAGGCGGCCUUCAGGACUGACACUGACACUGAGGUGCGAAAGCGUGGGUAGCAAACAGGAUUAGAUACCCGUGUAGUC